UCAUACUGUAUAAAAGAAUUUUGUAUUUAAAUUAUGUACCAUGUAUUUGGCGACUCAAGAUGGGUGAUGUAUACCUAUUUUGGGGGCAUCACAAUAUUCGUUAUUAUCACAUCCAUGAAUUAAUAUUUCAUCGCUGAGACUCAGCUCAAUAAACAAUUCACAUAACUGAAUUAUCCAUGCACUAUGGGCCAAGGAUAUUCAUUCGUAUCACAACCACGAAUUAUCC
rnacentral:lncRNA from 1 species